UGGGGAAUAUUGGACAAUGGGGGCAACCCUGAUCCAGCCAUGCCGCGUGAGUGAUGAAGGCCUUCGGGUUGUAAAGCUCUUUUGGCGGGGACGAUGAUGACGGUACCCGCAGAAUAAGCCCCGGCUAACUUCGUGCCAGCAGCCGCGGUAAGACGAAGGGGGCUAGCGUUGUUCGGAAUUACUGGGCGUAAAGCGAGUGUAGGCGGUUGCCGUAGUCAGGUGUGAAAGCCUUGAGCUCAACUCAAGAAAUGCACUUGAUACUGGGUGACUAGAGGACCGGAGAGGAUAGUGGAAUUCCCAGUGUAGUGGUGAAAUACGUAGAGAUUGGGAAGAACACCAGUGGCGAAGGCGGCUAUCUGGACGGUUACUGACGCUAAGACUCGAAAGCGUGGGGAGCAAACAGGAUUAGAUACCCUGGUAGUCCACGCCGUAAACGAUGGGUGCUAGACGUUGGCGAGCUUGCUCGUCAGUGUCGCAGCUAACGCGUUAAGCACCCCGCCUGGGGAGUACGGCCGCAAGGUUGAAACUCAAAUGAAUUGACGGGGGUCAUAGCUG
rnacentral:rRNA from 1 species